GGCUGUCAGCGUCUCACUUUUCCUCCUGCCGCAGUCUUCAUAUCAGAAGACCUUGAAAGGCUGCACCAUGUGGUUUCCUGGCUCAGGGAUCUCUAAACAGCGGCCAAAUAACAUGAGCUUUUAGUUCUGACAAUAUAGGAGGAAGUAAUGGAGGAGGCAGAACAAGUGGAACCAUCUUAUAACACAUUAGGACUAGAUCUGUGUAAACAGUCCCCUAGAGAGUUACCUGGUGAUAAUCUGCAUCUGGUGUAUUAAAUAAUGAAGUAGUUUUACAUUAGACAUGUUCUGACCCUAGAGCAAUGGCUGGAGACUAACCACUAUGUAUUGUACUGGUAACACGCGGAAGACUGAUGAAGAACUGAUGAUUAAUAUCCUGAACACCGGAGGCCAUUACUGAGAGCUGAAAACGUAAACAUACACUGCCGUCAACCUGGUCCAGUGAUGUCACAGCGGCUCAAAUGAUGUAUAAACUUCUAGUCUCUAUCUAAAGCUUGAAUGUCCCAGACCACCAUCUACUGCCAAUGACUUAUCACACCACAGCGAGUAUAGGCAGGAUUAAAG